CCCCUGGGCCUUCAGCCUCUGUCCUUCAUCUCCUUUCCUUUGCUGAACCAGGGCAGACCCUUCAGGGGGCCGUACUGUGCACUUCCACCUUCUCCUUUCAAAAAAGACAGACCUUUCCCUCCAAGCUCCCUCAGACUCUGGGAGCUCUGUCCUCACUGUUCCCUCCUGCUGCUUCCCAGGCCUGAUGCAUCUGGUCAGAGUCCAGAACAAGGACUCUUGGUUCUCUCAUGAUGGAGGUGCCAAAGAUGACACCUUUUCAGGGGAAAACCACCAAAGGCGGCAUCCUCCCAGAAGAAAAACAAUGUGCCCCAAAGUGGAAAUGCAGAAUGUUUACCUAGAAGACAGAGGAACGUCAGGCGAGGCCCUGAUUGGUUGCUGUCCUUUGGGAGGACCAUGACAGUACUAAGUUAGAGUUGAGCUACAGUGUGUCCAACUGUGGCCGAUCAGACUAAUAAUCUGCCACAGCUCAGAUACAAACAGUUCCUAUGAACAUUUGGGAUAGCUUCUCUAACUGCACGAAUCACAUUUCUUCCGAGCUAAUUCAUAGAGCACAGCCCCUUGUCUGAUGAGGACAUCCCAUGCUGGCCAGUCCUAUACCAGGGUCUUCCAUGUCAUGCAAUCAAUCCCAAAGUUUUUCAGAGAGCCCUUGAGAGUGUCCUUGUAUCACUUUUUUUGUAUACUGCAUAUAAUAUAUAUGGCAUAUAUAUUAUAUAAGUAUACUCACCUUGUGAGUUUUCACUAUGUGUGAGUUCUACCCAAGAUAGUCUUUUUGGCAAAUGUAUACUUGCCAAACAAUGUGGCCAACCCACUGUAGUUGUGCUUAGAGGAGAGUUGGAAUGAUUACGUCAAGAAAGAACCUCAAUGUCUGGUAUCUUAUCCCACCAGGUGAUCUUUAAUAUCUUCCUAAGACAAUUCAAAUGGAAGCGAUUCCGUUUCCCGGCAUGGUGCUUGGUAGAACAUCCGGGCUUCACAGGCAUACAAGAAUGAGAUCAACACAAUGGCUCUGUGGACCUUCAGUGUGGUAGUCAGUCUCAUACCUCUCUUCUCCCACACUCGCCUUCAGAGCCUUCCAAACAGUGAGUUAGCUCUGGCAAUGUAUGUGUCAAUCCCAUUAUCAAGGCGGGUUUUCCUGGAAAGUAAGUAUACUGCCAAGGUAAGUAGCCCUAAGCCCUGAGGCAAUCAGGAAAGACUUCCUGGAGAAGGUAACAGUUGAGCAGAGGAGUAAAGGAAGCCUAAGUCUAGGCCAUAGUGGGCAGAGGAGACCCUGAGGGUGAUGGGGCUGGGCUAAGACAAUAGAAGGUUGGCCAGUUCAUCUGAAAAAAAAAAAGAAUUCCAGGGUAUGGCAAGUUAGUGUGAGCUUUUGCCCUAUUUCAGGUAACCUGGUACCUGUGAAGGAGCCACAGUCUUUCCCAUGGAACUCUUCCUGGCUAUAGGAUGGAUAGAAAAUUUAUGCACAGCCCUGGGGUGAAGGUAAUAUCAGUAGGGCUAAGUUUGAGAAUGGGCAGAGUCUGACAAGGAAAGCAGAGGACAGUGCAAGACGGGGAGGGGUGUUUUCUUUCUUUUUAAUAAACUUUCUUGUUCGAUAUUAUUUUUACAUUACAAACACUUACUGAUUUCUUUUCUUCUAUGAAAGCUCUAUUGUUAACAACAUAUAGCAAACAAGUAAAGUGACCUCUUCAGAUAGUGCAGUCAACAUUCCAUAGCUUGGAACCCACCAUUUUCUAUUGAAAAAUGUACAAGAGUCUGUUUUCUUUAUUUUCCAAUCCAUUGAAAAAAAAAGAAAAACAAACUUUUUUUUGUUGUUGAGGCAGUUGAGGUUAAGUGAUUCACCCAGGGUCAUACACAGUUAGGAAGUGGUAAGUAUCUGAGACCAGAUUUGAACUAGGUCCUCCUGACUUCAGGCUGGUGCUCUAUCCCCUGGAUCACCUAGCUGUCCCCCCAAAACAACUCUUAAAAAAGUAAUAUGCCAAUUUCCACUUUUGAGAGCCAAGAUGGCAAGUAAGCAGUGAAUUGCUGUAAGCCUUUCAUGUUCACCUCUGGACAAGCAUAAAAUAACAUCCAGGAGAGAUCCUGCAACAAGCAAGGAGACAGGGGAAACAAUCUUAGUCUAGGAAAGUUGGAAACCAGGCAGAAGAGGUUCUUCUCACUCUAGUAAGGGUGUGUUGUUUAGUCCAAAACAGGAAGCUCCCAGAGAGCUUAAUAUCCAAGGGAACAUUGGAGUCAUGCCAAGCUCCUAAGAGUUGUGCAUGUAUCUUUUCUCAUAAUAUAUUGGGGUCAGAAAUGAAUACCAAUAAUCACAUCUCAUUGAUAGUCUUGUUUUCAAUACUUCCAGCUCAUCUUCUAAGAAGAGAAAUCUUUAUUGUUAUUUUUUAACAUCUGGAAUGCCAGAGCAAUGUUCCUGGCCAGCUCAUCAUCGAUUUCAGACUGUAAUGCUACAGCAGAAACAGUGGUUGAAAUUGUUAAAGAAGUAAGGGCAAUAAUCUCAGUUAUCGACAAGCCUAUCAAUUUUUUUGAUCAGUCUACUGUUUCAGCAAUUAUGGGCAAUGAAUGUUCUCCUGCUGAUUGAAACCAGAGAUGGGAAACACUGUGGAGAUUAUUGAAAAGGAAGGUUGCUGUACAAUUAAGACAUAUUUAGCUGUUCUAUCAGUAUGUUGAGUAAAUAUACAAUGUACACAGGUAACAUUUCAUUGAUAUUCAGUGUCUCCUAAUGUAAGGUUAAGGCAGGUCAUUUCCUUUACCUUUUCAUAAUUACCAUUGUAAUUAGCUAAAAGAAAAGCUUGUGGUGUUGCUAUCCAGGCUUUUACAUAUAUAUAUAUAUAUUCUAUUGCCUUUUAUAAAUGUUUUGAAAAAUAAUGGGAAUUCAGGUGGUCAUUGCUCUGAAUGUGAUUUGUGCAAUUAUAUUAUAAUUAUGAAAAAAGAUAUUCUUUUCCCCUCCUAAUAGCUGAGUAUUAUUGAUAUAUACAGCAUUUAUGUUAUCCAUAUAUGUUAUAGGUUGUAACCAGUGAGGAAAAAGAAAAUAUGUCCAAUACAUCUCUCUAUUCUCCCCUCACACUUGGCUGGAUAAAAUAACCAUAAUUGCAAGGAACAUGACUUUAGGUUUGUUGGAAUGUCCUUGAGUUAUGACAAGACCACUUGCAUGCUGCAGCAGAGUCUUUAUCUGUCCCCAUGUAGGGAUCUCCAUAUUCUGCAUUGCCUGACUCAAUCGUCUUCACUUUUUCUUGCAGUUUCAUAGUCUGAAGUUGGGCAGUCAGUCAUGGUACAUGCUCUGACAUUUUUCUCAGGUAUCCACACUGGUUGAGUAUAUGAUUCUGGAAAGAAACAAGCAAACCCUCUUUCCCAUCUUAAUAAUGGUUCAGGACCUUCCCAUUUUCCCGUUAAUAGAUCUUUCCACAUUACCUGGACUGAUGACCUUUUUUCUUCUGCAAAGGACUUUUCUGCUGGAAUAUGAUCAUCUUUAUUCAUUGUCAAAAAAUUUAAAAUAUAUAGUAUUUUUGAUAGUUUUAUGGGUUUUCCAUUUUUGCUUAUCAAACAUGAUUUUUAGGUCCUUAUUAAAAAUGAUGAUUUACAAGAGCUUGACCAGUGGGAUUAUAUGGGAUUCUGGUAAGAGAUGAUUAAUAACAUGUUUGACAGUCUCACCUAUUUGUUUCCAAUUAAUUUUUGAUCUAUUUUCCCCAGGCCUUUUAUUUUAUAUAAUCUUUAUUGCAUCUUGAUCUGAAAAAAUGCAUUUACUUUCUACCUUUCUGCAUUUGAUUUUGAGAUUUUUAUGCCUCCAUUAAAUUUUCUCCAAAGCUCUAUCAUAACUAAUUUUUUCUAAAAUUCUAUUUAUGUCCUUAACUUCUUUCUUAUUUAUUUUAUGGUUUGAUUUAUCUAAUUCUGAGAGAGCAAGAUUGAGAUCCCCCACUAAUAUAAGUUUUUUUUUGCCUUUAACCUUUUUUUUUAUUAUAGCUUUUUAUAUACAAAACAUAUGCAUGGGUAAUUUUUCAAAACUGACCCUUGCAAAAACUUCUGUUUCAACUUUUCCCCUCCUUCCCUCCACUCCAUCUGGUAGUCCCAUUCAUGUUAAAUAUAUUAAAGUAUAUUUUAAAUACAAUAUAUGUAUACAUAUCUAUGCAGUUAUCUUGUUGCAUAAAAAAGAUCAGAUUUAGAAAGAGGGUAAAAAUAACUUGAGAAGAAAAAACAAAAAUGCAAGCAAAUAAUAACCAAAAGAGUAAAAAUGUUAUGUUGCAGUCCAUUCUCAUUUCCCAGUGUUCUUUCUCUGGGUGUAGCUGGUUCUGUUCCUUACAGAUCAAUUGGAACUGAUUUGGUUCAUCUCAUUGUUGAAGACAGCCAUGUCUAUCAGCAUUGAUCUUCAUAUAGUAUUGCUGUUGAAGUGUAUAAUGAUCUCCUGUUUCUGCUCAUUUCACUCAGCAUCACUUCAUGUGAGUCUCUCCAAGCCUCUCUAUAUUCAUCCUGCUGGUCAUUUCUUACAGAACAAUAAUAUUCCAUAACAUUCAGAUACCACAAUUUAUUCAGCCAUUCUCCAAUUGAUGGGCCAUCCAUUUAGUUUUCAGUUUCUAGCCACUAUGAAAAGGGCUGCCACAAACAUUCUUGCACAUAUAGGUCCCUUUUCUUCUUUAAGAUCUCUUUGGGAUAUAAGCACAGUAGUAGCACUGCUGGGUCAAAGAGUAUUCACAGUCUGAUAACUUUUUGAACAUAGUUCCAAAUUGCUCUCCAGAAGGAUUGGAUCCGUUCACAAUUCCAGCAACAAUGCAUCAAUGUCCCAGUUUUCCCUCAUUCCCUCCAACAUUCGUCGUUAUCUUUUCCUAUCGUUUUAGCCAAUCUGACAGGUGUGUAGUGGUAUCUCAGAGUUGUCUUAAUUUGCAUUUCUCUGAUCAAUAAUGAUUUGGAACACUUUAUCCUAUGACUAGAAAUAGUUUCAAUUUCUUCAUCUGAAAACUGUCUAUUCAUAUCCUUUGACAUUUAUCAAUUGGAGGAUAAGCCUGAGUUCAGAUAACAAAGUUACAGACUCCUUGUCUGAAGGAGUUUUUAAAGUGUUAGUGUGCUGCUCUUCCAUUUUCCCCAAAGUUUCCAAACUCUCUAAUCCAUUUCAGUCUAUGCUCUUCUCAUUCCUACAUGCUUAAACUUUCUUACUUACAUUUCUAUUUAAAACUAUAUGUCUCAUUUCUUUCUCACUCUCCUUCUCCUAUUGUAGAGAGCCAGUACUCUGGAGAAGUAUACUUGAAAGAAGGUAUUAACUCAGUGCAAUUGAUAACACAAUGUUUAUCUAAUUUAGCAUGGUCAGUACAUGUACUUCGUACUUAAUCUAGUUCUACAAGAUUCACACCUAUUCUACAAGAUUGACACCUAUGAUGAUGUAAUUAUAAUAGAGCAUAUAAGAGCCGAUAAGAACUGAAUGAGAGACAUUCAUUCCAUCUCCCACCUUUGUGGUGGCUGGCCUGUCCUCCUUCAUUUCUCCACUGAAGCCAAGUCCCAUCUGAAGGCCCUCCAGAAAGCUAGCUGAACCCUAAUUCAAGGAAUCAGACUGUGAAGAAGAUAAUGAAGAAUUUGGACUUUAUCUCUGGCUAUUCUCAUGGUGAUUACUCUGCUGAAACAAAGGCUGGACCUCCAGAAAGCUAACCAGAACGUUACAUCCUACCCUCUUCUACUUGCUUUUACCAUCUUCAUUAUACUGAAUAUAUUUUCCCUAUUUUCCCCUUCUGCAAAGCUACUGAAGUUGGCUAGAGCCAUAGGAAAAGAUUCUUUUCACUUGCACUAUCCUAAUCCCUAAGGACCUGAGAAUUAGCUUCCAUAUUACCUUACCAAGAUUAAAGACCAAUACAUUCACCCAUCCAAAGUGACUUCAGUUCUUUCAUUCUACAGUCAGAUUGAUUUUCCAUUUUGAAUGAAUCACAACCUCAAAGGCUGUUUCCAUGGGAUAGAUUUCCUCUCUCCUUCCAUGAAACAGGAGAGAUACUGAACCUGCUAGUUCUUUUUUUUUUUUUUUUUCUAAAAGUACAGGCUCCUGUUCCCAAUGUGACAUUCCAAUCUAUUCUACAUUCCCUUGUUGUCCUAUAUGUCCCAAACCUAGGGUACUCUCCUAUUUCAAGGGAACUUAGAAAGACACUUCCUUUAUCACACGCCACAUCUGAAGUGAAGGAAUUUAGAAUCCUGAGUCAAGGAUCAGAAGCCCUGACACUAGAGUACUCAACAGGAUGGUUUGAAACUUGUAAAGAUGUCACCUUGAGCUACUCUGAAAGAAUUACUACUCUGAAUGAAUUUCAACAAUUCAGCCUGAUAUAUCUCCAAGUCAGCAAUAUAGAAGAGUUUUGGAAGAUACUACUUUGCCUUGUUUCAUCUCCUUCUGUUUAAGCACCAAUUGCCAGUAAACAAGACUGCAGGAUGAAGUAGUGAGUGAAUUGAAUGGAGCCAGAUGAGUUCAAGUUUGAAGCACAGAACUGAAUUAUUUUUUACAACUUCCCUUUUAUACUCCACCAUAAACAUGUUCUUUUCUAUUAUAUAUCACACAGUGUCAUAAAACCACAGAAAGUAUAA